GCCCCCGUAGCCCAAUGGUAGGGCGUUAGACUUCUAAUCUAAAGGCUGCGGGUUCGAGUCCCGCCGGGGGUG